rnacentral:ncRNA from 1 species
AUGAUGUAUGAAAGGGGAGAAGGUUAGCACUACCCUUGAUAAUAAAGAAAGAGGUCAUAGUGGUCUUUACAACACAUGCAUGGUUAAGGCAUUGCCAUUGCCACCUGUUGUGUAGAAUCUAACAAUUUUU